rnacentral:sRNA from 1 species
ACCAAAGAAGAUGUAUUUGUACAUCAGCAUCCUGUUCUCCCGAUGUGGUUCCUCCUUAGUGUUUGCCUGGAGCCAAUCUGGCUUCUGCCUGGACUGCCAUCAAGAAGAAUAACCCACGGAAAUAUCUGCGUAGUGUAGGAGAUGGAGAAACUGUAGAGUUUGAUGUGGUUGAAGGAGAGAA